rnacentral:lncRNA from 1 species
CAAGAGGCCAGUAUUUGCUGACAUCAGCAAGGAUCUGGAGAAGAUGAUGGUCAAAAGCAGAAUCUAUCCCUCCCCUGAGUCUCUACGCUAUACUUAACCUCGGUGGUUCUGUGGAUCGUAACUUGGUUAUCAUUGACUUAACAGCUAACAUCCACAUGACUACUUGGACCUGGCUGCAUCCACCCCUUCGGACUCACUGCUCUAUGACGAUGGGCUCUCGGAAGAGGAGACGCCCCUGGUGGACUGUAACAGUGCUCCCCUCCCGCGCUCCCUCCCUUCCACAUGGAUUGAAAACAAACUCUAUGGUAGAAUUUCACAUGCAUUUACUAGAUUCUAGCAACGCAGUCCCCUCUGCACCAUCCCAACUGUCUGUAACGCUUUUUAAGAGUGUUUCCGAUCCCACCGAAACC